rnacentral:rRNA from 1 species
UACGUAGGGAGCAAGCGUUGUCCGGAAUCAUUGGGCGUAAAGCGCGCGUAGGCGGCCUCAUAAGUCCGUUGUAAAAGUCAAAGGCUCAACCUUUGAAAGCCGAUGGAUACUGUGAGGCUAGAGUACGGAAGAGGCGAGUGGAAUUCCUGGUGUAGCGGUGGAAUGCGCAGAUAUCAGGAGGAACACCAAUAGCGAAGGCAGCUCGCUGGGACGUUACUGACGCUAAGGCGCGAAAGCGUGGGGAGCGAACAGG